rnacentral:tRNA from 1 species
GCGAGAGUAGCUCAAUGGUAGAGCCCUGGCCUUCCAAGCCAGCAAUGCGGGUUCGAUCCCCGUCUCUCGCUCCA